ACUGGCUCGCUGACUCCUCCUUCUUGUAGAACCGUAAUGCCAUUAAUUUGGUGUUGCGGGGAAACAGGACUGUUACUUUGAAAAAAUUAGAGUGUUUAAGGCAGGCCAACGCCUGAAUACAUUAGCAUGGAAUAAUGAAAUAGGACGUUCGAACCUAUUUUGUUGGUUUCUAGGAUUGACGUAAUGAUUAAUAGGGAUAGUUGGGGGCAUUAGUAUUCAAUUGUCAGAGGUGAAAUUCUUGGAUUUAUUGAAGACUGACUACUGCGAAAGCAUUUGCCAAGGAUGUUUUCAUUAAUCAAGAACGAAAGUUAGGGGAUCGAAGACGAUCAGAUACCGUCGUAGUCUUAACCAUAAACUAUGCCGACUAGGGAUCG
rnacentral:rRNA from 1 species